GACGAACGCUGGCGGCGUGCCUAAUACAUGCAAGUCGAACGCAGUGGGGACGGGUGAGUAACACGUGGGUAACCUCCCAUCAGAGGGGAUAACACUUGGAAUCAGGUGCUAAACCGAUACUGAUGGCUGGUCCCGCGGUGCAUUAGCUAGUUGGUGAGGUAACGGCUCACCAAGGCCACGAUGCAUAGCCGGCCUGAGAGGGUGAUCGGCCACACUGGGACUGAGACACGGCCCAGACUCCUACGGGAGGCAGCAGUAGGGAAUCUUGGGCAAUGGGCGAAAGUCGGACCGAGCAACCCCGCGGGAAUGAAGAAGGUUUUCGGAUCGUAAAACUCUGUUGUUAGAGAAGCGGUAUCUAACCAGAAAGCCACGGCUAACUACGUGCCAGCCGCCGCGGUAAUAC
rnacentral:rRNA from 1 species